rnacentral:lncRNA from 1 species
UUUUCUUUUUCUCCUUUCCUCUUCCUAUCCUCUUCUUCCUCUAAUUCUCUUCUCCUCCAGCAGCGCCGCCCGCCGCCAGAAGAAGCAGCCGCGCCGGCCGUCCAGGCGUCCACUAGAAGAAGGCAAGAAGCAACAGCAGCCGCGAGAAGCAGCAGCACUGCAGCAGCGCCGGCGCCCGGCCGUCUGCCAGAAGAAGAAGCAGCAGUAGCUGCGCCGUGCCGUCAAGCAGCCAGCAACAGCCGCGCCGCGCCGUCCGCCAGCAGCCGCGCAGGAGUCAGGACAGCAGCCAGCAGGUUUGUCCGUUUGUUUUUUUAAUUUUUUUUUUCUGAUUUUGUUUUUAUUACUAGUUAUUGUGAAUUUAUUGUGAUUUUUUUAUAUAUAUAUAGAUGGCCGAACAAAAAAUUGAAAAAAUUGUAAAGUUUAAAAUUUUAAAAAGCCCAUUAAGCAGGCCCAUUAAAAAAUCGAACCAAAUUGAUAAAAACUGAACCGAAUUAAAAAAAAUCGAACCAAAAUAUUUCAAUUCGGUAUUCGGUACGCAAUUUACAAAAACCAAAAAUCGAAAAAAAAACUUAAAUCGAACCGAAAUACCGAAUGUACACCCCUACUUUUUAACAUGCUCGAAUUAUUUCAAAUCUCAUCUCUCAUUUUUUAUCUACCACAAAAGUCACUUCCACCUAAUCCAAAUACUCCCUCCGUUUAAAAAAAUAUUCCUAUUUUUUUUGUUGUUUAAAAAAAAUGAUCCUUUUUUUUACGAUAUUUUAAUUUUAAUUUUCCACGUGACAUGUUUAACACCACAAGAUUAAAUGUCAUUUUGAUACAUUUGACAUAACUUUAAUUUAAAAUCAUAAGAUUAAAAAGACUUUUUUUUUCUUAUAUUCCAUUUUAAGUAAAAUUAGGUUAUUUUUUUUUAAACGGAGGAGAGCAUUUUAUUUCUGAUAGUAUCUUCUCCAAAUUAACACAUACUGCCAAAACUAGGUUUCCCGAUGAUGUAACUACGUAGGCGGUUGUUCACGUGUCGUGUACUCGUCACGUUGUCUUCUUUUUAAAGAAAUACUAAUAUUUUUUAUCUAUUUUUAUUGUAGUACAAUUUUUCUGUUUUAUUUUAUUCUUAAUUAUCUAAAAUAAUAAUAAUUAAAUCUAAAGUAAUUUUUAAAUCAAAAAUAAAAAAUCAAAUUGAAAUAAAUUUUAAGUAAAAAAAAGUAUUGAGAGAUUUGCUUUUGAUUUUUAAUUUAUUUUAAAGUUAUUUUUGACGUCAAAUACUUUUAAAUUUAUUUUAAGUUAUUUUUUAUAUUAGUCAAUUUGAUAAUAUUUUUAAGAGUCCGUUUGGAUCGACUUUAAAAAACGGUUUUAAGUUAAAAAUAAAAAGUCAAAUUGAAAUGACUUUUAAGUCGAAAAAAAAGUAAGGGGAGACCUACUUUUGUUUUUGACUUAUUUGAACUCAUUUUUUACCUUGCCAAACACUUCAUAUGUUAAGUCAUUUUUGACUUAUUUUAAGUUAUUUUUUUAUAUUUAUUAAAUACUUUCAGAAGUCAAAAACUUAAAAAUGGAUUUGACCGACUUUUAAGCCGAUUCCAACUAACUCUACAUCCGUCCAAACACUCUCUUAAUAUAUUUUAUCAGUAUUCAAUGGUUGAUAGUGUCUGGAGCUCUUAAAUUUUCGAACAAUAUUUUACCUGCUCUUAUAUCAUAAACUAAUAUUGGUUCAUAUUCUUAUGAACCCUAACCUAAGAGAUGAAGUCGUCGUUGAAAAGAAAAAAAAAACUCAUUCCGAAGCAAACUUUUAUCUAUUACUCCCUUGAUUGUUUGUCAUGUUGUGCUUAUCGAAAGCUAAUUUGACUAAUUUUUAAAGGUAAAUUAGAUUACAUUAAUUUGAUAUUUCAAACAAAAAAAAUAAAAUAUUCUAAAACUAUAUGAAAAGUACUAUAAAUUACAAUUUUUUUACAUAUUACUAUGAUAAAAAAAUACAUCUUAAAGUAUCAAUCAAAAUUUUUAUAAUUUAACUCUAAAUUAAAAAUAAUGACAAACAAUAUUGGAUGGAAUAAAUGUACAUUCUUGUUCUCAUAAACUCUAAUUCAAAAUGGCGGACGGAAUAUAACAAUAUAAUUAUAGUUAUACCGUGGAGAGGAAAUGACCAAACUAUCCUUACUGUCUUAAGUGAAUUUUGUUUCUAUCAGCAGUCCCUUUAUCUAUUCAUCAAUCAAACACCUAGUUUUUCAUUUUUAAUCAAGAUUAAAAAAAAAAAUCAUAAUUAGGAAAGCUAGGAUCCAAAUAAAUCGAAGUUUCAUAUUCUAAGUUUUGAAAACGAAAAAAAAAAAAUCAUAGUCAGGAGAACUUUCUCAAGUUAAUCAAAGUCUAAGGCAUCCCGACUCCGUAGUAGCAUUCUGGAGUUGCUUAUUGUUCUAUGACAUGAAUCUUUACUCUACUUCAAUUGAACCACCGCCGGUUAUAAUUACACUAAAGAUUUAUUUAAUUAUACUAUAAUAAUUUUACAUAUACUACGAACUUAAAAAAACAGACCAAACAAGAAAUCUAGAUUUCUUCUUAAACUAAGAUCGAUAAAAAUAAAUACAUUCCCUUAGAAAGCUCGUGUACAAGAUUAUAUCCUGAGUGUCAACAACCAGCAAAUGCUAAAAAUAUGAACAUCCUUAAGUGUACAAAACUUCUAAUGCUACCACCGGAGCUCUUUACAAUUUUUUGUACUUUCAACGCCAACCGUCCCAAUGUAAACUGGUCCAGCCAGCUCAACUAUGAUGUGUUGAAGUGCUCUCUGUACAACUUAGUUAAGGUUGAGUCUCCGCGAUCUAACUCUCAUGCACAAAGGAGGUGAAAUAUUCCAACCUAUCAUUCUAAGCUGUUUAAUGUUCAUGAGUAACUGCAUCAGGAAGUGAUGGAGAUGAGCCAGCGCUGACUUUGCUGGGAACUGGUGUAUUCAUUCUUGACUGGCGUUUUGUGGGGACAAGAACGCUAUCGUUCUCCAGUUUCAUCAUAAAGUCUUCAUCCUCAUCUUCAUCGUCGUCUUUGAAAACAGGAUGCACAUAAGCAUUUUGAAGGUAGCCCUUCAGAUUAAGAUUUGGUUCCCUUGCUUGUUCCAGAGUAUCUCUCAUCCUUGCUUCCUGAAAUAGAGAAGAAGAUAGCAUUGUAGACAUUUGAAGAAAAAAAAAAUGGACCCUCACAAAAAAAAAAGAGAGCUCAAACUAUUGUAACAGUGGAAAUUUUUAUUUGCAAGAUGUACUUCCACACACACCUGUAUCGGAUAUUUGGUGAAAGCUGGCUCAUAACGACCUUUGCAGUACAAGUGAAAUGAGAUGGUCAGCACUGGAAGGGCAAUCAGGAAAGGUGCUGACUGAGUAGCAUGUUUUGUACUUAGCAAGCCUAGUAAAGAUAACUGAGAAAAGCACAGUGCGAAAAUUAUACGUCCAUGAACAUCUGGCCAGAAUGCUGCUGCACUUUCGUACUCCUGAUUGUAAACAUUUAUAAUCUGUCUCAGGAAAAGAAUGCGUCAGAAAACGCUAAUUGUAACAUGCAACCAUGUCUACAUCAACAAUUUCAAAUCAGUAGAAUUAGCAUAUGCAAAUAGGUGACAACAAAUUUUACUAGGAAUUAAUAGGUGCAUCUCCAUCAGUACAAGUACUCCAUAUUCCCUUUGUCUAAUUUUUAAAUGUGGAAAGAAUUAAUACUACCAGUUAGCAAAUACCCCAGUCAAUGAAGUGUUGCAUGUGGCCUAAGAAACAACAUUAAAACGACACUCCUAUGAACAUAACAUACACUUGAACCAAUGGGAUUCCAUGUCUGAUCCAAUAUCAAAGCUGAUGUUAUCCCUAGCAUGUCAACUAAGUAGAAGUAGGGCCUACAUAACUACUUCAAAGGCUAUCAACUUUGUACUGACACCAUAAUCGUUACAAGUACAAUGAAGUGUCAUCCGUUUCAAUUUAUUUGUCUUAUUUUGACUUGUCACGGAGUUUAAGAAAGUAAAUAAGAUCUUUGAAUCUUGUGGUCAUAAACAUAAAAAUGUGUAUCAUCCCUCUAAUCUUAUGAUCUUAAACAUGCCAUGUGGGAUACUAAAAUUAAAGUGUUGUCAAAACUAGAGAAGUCACCUUCUUUUUAAAAGAAACUAAAAGGAGAAAGUAAGACAAACAAAUUGACACAUAGGAAGUAAUCAAAUUUUUGCUUAUUUUAUCACAUAGAUAUUUUAUUCAAUAAGUAUCAUGUUUUAUUAUCCUUUCAUGCGAAUGGUGUAACUAAUUAAGAAUCUAUUUUGUUUUCUUGGCUUAAGUAAAUCUUCUAUACAUCUUUUAUCAGAAUUUCCCGUAUUUAAAUUCUCAAUGACCUUAUUUUGCCACAUUCAAUUCCCCCCACAUUAUGUAGGUUAUGAAGAAGGAUGCUUUCAUAGGAACUGCGACACCAAUCGUUUUAGGGAUUCUGCAGAAAAUAUAGGCAUAAGAAGGAAGAGAGAAGACGAACCUGAUGACGAUAUACUACAUAUGCAAGGCCAAAGA